rnacentral:rRNA from 1 species
AACGAACGCUGGCGGCAUGCCUAACACAUGCAAGUCGAACGAGACCUUCGGGUCUAGUGGCGCACGUGUGCGUAACGCGUGGGAACCUGCCCUUAGGUUCGGAAUAACUCCCCGAAAGGGGUGCUAAUACCGGAUAAUGUCUUCGGACCAAAGAUUUAUCGCCUUUGGAUGGGCCCGCGUUGGAUUAGCUAGUUGGUAGGGUAAAAGCCUACCAAGGCGACGAUCCAUAGCUGGUCUGAGAGGAUGAUCAGCCACAAUGGGAAUGAGACACGGCCCAGAAUGGUACGGGAGGGAGCAGUGGGGAAUAUUAGACAAGGGGGGAAAACCUGAUAAAGCAAUGUGGGGGGAGAGAUGAAGGCCUUAGGAUUGUAAAGCUGUUUUAGCCGGGAUGAUAAUGACAGUACCGGGAGAAUAAGCACCGGCUAACUCCGUG